rnacentral:tRNA from 1 species
GACAGGGUGGCCAAGUGGUUAAGGCAGCAGUUUUGAAUUAUGGUGUGUGCCUGGGGGAUCAUCAACAUUCUAGCUAUUUCACUUUGUGAGUGUGAGUUCAAACCUCACUCCUGUGG